CUUGUGUGCUCGCAAUGGCUCAGAGCACCCAGUUCAGUUCUCAGCCACCAUGUUUUAUGUCUCCCUCACUCUCAAGACCGUCAAUGCAGGGCUUUUCCACCCUCUUUUGGACUUAUAUGCACACAUAUUCACAUGUGCAUAUACUGCUUUUAUGCGCUCAACCAGAUGGGAUGGUGAGCAGGCCCUUGGGCAGUAUGAAGAGUGGAGAAGGCUGGCUGAGUUCGCCUACAGCUUUAAUGCCAGCAUUCAGGAGACAAAGGCAGGUGAUGUCUGUAAUUUUCAUGCCAGCCUGCUCUAUAGAGUGAGAUCCAGAGUCAUGGCCAUGUAGACCGAUGUUGGACGAAUUUGAAAAAGAAUAGAGCAAAAGGAAGGAGUGUCUAACAAUGGGAAGGAAUGAGCAGGACCCAUGGUCUACAGACCAUGUCGAGGUCAUUUUUCUGAAAUGGUGACUUGCCA
rnacentral:lncRNA from 1 species